GACGAACGCUGGCGGCGUGCUUAACACAUGCAAGUCGAACGGAAAGGCCCUGCUUGCAGGGUGCUCGAGUGGCGAACGGGUGAGUAACACGUGGGUGAUCUGCCCCUUACUUUGGGAUAAGCCUGGGAAACUGGGUCUAAUACUGGAUAGGACCAUGCUGUAGGUGGUGUGGUGGAAAGAUUUUUUCGGUAAGGGAUGAGCUCGCGGCCUAUCAGCUUGUUGGUGGGGUAAUGGCCUACCAAGGCGUCGACGGGUAGCCGGCCUGAGAGGGUGGACGGCCACAUGGGGACUGAGAUACGGCCAAGACUCCGACGGGAGGCAGCAGUGGGGAAUAUUGCACAAUGGGCGCAAGCCUGAUGCAGCGACGACGCGUGGGGGAUGACGGACUUCGGGUUGUAAACUCCUUUCAGCCAUGACGAAGCCUCUUUUGGGGUGACGGUAGUGGUAGAAGAAGCACCGGCUAACUACGUG
rnacentral:rRNA from 1 species